AUUUUGUGCUUGUAUGUACUACAUGUGUACAUAUGAAAGACCCCCAGAGUGUGGAGACCCUCACUCAAGUCUUGGGAUAAGCCGAUGCCCCAAUAAUUCAAGAGAGACC
rnacentral:pre_miRNA from 11 species